rnacentral:tRNA from 1 species
GCCGAGGUGGUGGAAUUGGUAGACACGAGGGACUUAAAAUCCCUUGGGCUAAUCGCCCGUACGGGUUCGAGUCCCGUCCUCGGCA